GUCAGGUCCUGGACUCCCAUAGCUUUCAGGCUUUUAAACAACAGAGCGAGCACUGGACUUGGAGCCAGAAGUCUUGGG
ensembl:miRNA